rnacentral:lncRNA from 1 species
UAAAAGAAAGCACUUGAAUAUUGUAUCGGAAUUUUGUUGUGUCUUUAUUCUUGUAAUGAUGUACAUAUAUAUAUAAGAGUACAAGAAUCUGUAUACUAAUUGCCUAUAAUUGUCUAGUCUAUAAUUGCCUAUAAUAGAGAUCCUAUUUUAAAUACAAUUAUGAUACAAUUUUCUGAUAUACUUUGACAGCUAUAUGGAUAUGCAUUGCCAUCAUGUUUACACGCCUAUAGCAGUUAUAUUGCCAGCACAUGUUUGCUUGGGUUUCA